AACAAGGUCCUGCUCUGGGAGAGGGAUGUUCGAUGGGAGGCCUUUGAAUUCAUCCUUGUCCCAGAAAUCGAAGGUGGUGGGCAGCAGUUUCGGGAGAUCGGAGGGUGCGGGUUUGGGAUUGUGUUGGGGAUCGAUGGGGGUAGGAAGAGUGAGGUCAGUUGUGAGAGAUUGGGAAGGUAGAGAGUGGAGAAUGGUGGGAUCGAUAGAAGCGUUUUCGAGUUUGUCGUUUUCAGCUUCGAAUCCCUCGACAUGGCACGCGGCGCUGUGACGUGUUCUGUGAAGGGAGAGGCGGCGCUUGUGGUGGCUGCUGGCUUUCGACGGACAUCGACGGUGGGUGGCGGUUGGAAGGAAGCAGAAGAAGAAAAAAAGGAGGGUAGAACCAGCGCAUUAAGGGCGGCAGCGGCCAGAGGUUGAUGGCUUCUGUUUCUUCUGCUUUUGAUUUUGAUUCUACUUUUAUUGUUGCUAUGCUUCUGAUUCUGAUUCUAUUUCUUUGAAUUUGUUGUUGUGUUUCUAAUUUUAUUGUUCUUCUGAUUUCAUUGUUCUUUGAUUUCUUGUGUUUUUUUGAUAUGUUCUUAUUGUGCUAUUAAUGAUGAAAAAGAAGAAAAAAAAAGAGAUGCUGCUGUGAUGGAAAGAAAAAAUUGGGAAAUUUAGUGUAGAAGAAGAAGGAUAUUUUGGUUCGAAUGACGAUUUUAAAAUUAAGUUAAAUCUUAAAGACGAUUUUGUAUGCAAAAAAAUAUUGAGAAC